UGGAUCCAGACUUUGAUUCUGGCUCAGGACGAACGCUGGCGGCGUGCCUAACACAUGCAAGUCGAACGGAACUAUUUUAAAAGAUUUCUUCGGAAUGAUUUUGGCUUAGUUUAGUGGCGGACGGGUGAGUAACGCGUGAGUAACCUGCCUUCAAGAGGGGGAUAACGUUCUGAAAAGGACGCUAAUACCGCAUAACAUAUCGGAAUCGCAUGGUUUUGAUAUCAAAGAUUUUAUCGCUUGAAGAUGGACUCGCGUCCGAUUAGUUAGUUGGUGAGGUAACGGCUCACCAAGACCGCGAUCGGUAGCCGGACUGAGAGGUUGAACGGCCACAUUGGGACUGAGA
rnacentral:rRNA from 1 species